rnacentral:misc_RNA from 1 species
AUUAUAAAUCUUUUGAUACUACUUUCCCUUUCCUCCCACAACCCCACCCCCCCGAAAAAAAAGGUCAUUUUAGGUCUCUCGUUUUCCCUCCUCACUCCUUCCAUUACAAAUUUAUCGCAUUUCCUUACUGGAGCAUUUGAUUCUCUAUGCUGGACAUAGCCAAACCAUCUUAAUCGAAACUCUCUCAUUUUAUCCCUACUGUGAGCUACAUGAAUUGUUUGGUGGAUGUAUUUAUUCCUAAUUUUAUCCAUAUUGUUAGGACAUGAACAAUCUAAAUACUUACUCCUUGUGGAGAGCGAAUCUAAAAGGUGAAGUUCAAAAAGACGUGACCCAAAAUUUAAACAUGCUAAUGGAUUUGUUCUUUUUUUUAUUAUUCAGGAGAUUUCAGGACUGCCA